UGAAUACGAGACGCUAAGGCGUCGAAGUAGUGUAUGUCAUACUUCCAAGAAAAGCUUGCACUGUCAUAGAUAAAAAACGCCUGUACCAUAACCGACACAGGUGGGUAGGUAGAGUAUACUAAGGGGCGCGAGAUAACUCUCUCUAAGGAACUCGGCAAAAUAACUCCGUAACUUCGGGAGAAGGAGUGCCUUAUUCUUAAGGUUGCAAUAACAAGAUCCAAGCAACUGUUUAUCAAAAACACAGGUCUCCGCUAAGUCGUAAGACGAUGUAUGGGGGCUGACGCCUGCCCAGUGCCAGAAGGUUAAAGAAGCUGGUUAGCAUUUGCGAAGCUAGUAACUGAAGCCCUGGUGAACGGCGGCCGUAACUAUAACGGUCCUAAGGUAGCGAAAUUCCUUGUCGGGUAAGUUCCGACCCGCACGAAAGGCGUAAUGAUUUGGAUACUGUCUCGGAGAGGGGCUCGGUGAAAUAGACUUGUCUGUGAAGAUGCGGACUACCUGCACCAGGACAGAAAGACCCUAUGAAGCUUUACUGUAACUUGAAAUUGAAAUUGGACUUUAUUCGCGCAGUAUAGGUGGGAGGCGUUGAUUAUAAUCUUGCGGGAUUAUUGGAGCCAUUAGUGAGAUACCACUCUUGUAAUGUUAGAUUUCUAACUUUGAAUCAUUAUCUGGUCAAAGAACAGUUUCAGGCGGGCAGUUUGACUGGGGCGGUCGCCUCCUAAACGGUAACGGAGGCGUACAAAGGUUUCCUCUGAACGGUUAGAAAUCGUAUCUAGAGUGUAAAGGCAUAAGGAAGCUUGACUGUGAGACCUACAAGUCGAGCAGGGACGAAAGUCGGUCUUAGUGAUCUGACGGUACUGAGUGGAAAGGCCGUCACUCAACGGAUAAAAGUUACUCUAAGGAUAACAGGCUGAUCUCCCCCAAGAGUUCACAUCGACGGGGAGGUUUGGCACCUCGAUGUCGGCUCAUCGCAUCCUGGGGCGGUAGUACGUCCCAAGGGUUGGGCUGUUCGCCCAUGAAAGCGGUACGCGAGCUGGGUUCAGAACGUCGUGAGACAGUUCGGUCCAUAUCCGGUGUAGGCGUUAGAAUAUUGAGAGGAGCCUUCUUUAGUACGAGAGGACCGAGAAGGACAUACCUCUGGUGUACCAGUUAUCGUGCCAACGGUAAACGCUGGGUAGCUAUGUAUGGAGUGGAUAACCGCUGAAAGCAUCUAAGUGGGAAGCCCACCUCAAGAUAAGUAUUC
rnacentral:rRNA from 1 species